CUUAGAGGUAAACGAGUGGAGCCGAAGGAGUUGUAUAGAAUUCAGUCGAUUAUGUUUUGUACGUAAAUUAACAACAUUUUUAUGGGAGUUGUUGGUAUACAUUUUACGGAAUGUGAUUGAUGCAUUUUCUAUAUAACUAAACUGCGACCAAUAGUGUUGAUUUUCUGUCGUAAUUGUGAAGGUGAUCAAUUUUUCGGAAUUGGUUUUAUAGCUAUUUACAUGGUUAAUCAAUGUAUUGUUAAACGCGGUUGGCUAAUUUUGAUAGUUUUUGAUUUGGAUUGCUUAUUUUUAGACUAUAAAUAGACUAUUUUUAAGCAGUUUAAGUCUUUUAUUGUUGAAGGGUCAACCUAAAGUCUGCAGUCAUUAUGUAGGUUACCUACUUGUCCCGUCUUGAAACACGGACCAAGGAGUUUUAUAUGAUCGCGAGUCAAAGGGCUUUACGAAACCCCAGGGCGUAAUUAAUGUAAAGAUUCACUUUAGUGAAUUGCAAUGUGACCUCGCUGUAAAAAGCUUGUGCAACAUUGACCCGUCUAAAGAUGUUCGCAUCUGGACGGAGUUUGAGCGAUCAUGUAGAGACCCGAAAGAUGGUGAACUAUGCUUGUGCAGGUUGAAGUCAGAGGAAACCCUGAUGGAAGACCGCCGCGGUUCUGACGUGCAAAUCGAUCGUCGGACAUGAGUAUAGGGGCGAAAGACUAAUCGAACCAUCUAGUAGCUGGUUCCCUCCGAAGUUUCCCUCAGGAUAGCUGGCAUUUGUUGUCGUAGUUUUACCUGGUAAAGCGAAUGAUUAGAAGUAUUGGGGACGAAAUGUCCUCAACUUAUUCUCAAACUUUAAAUGGGUUCGAAGUGCAUCUCUCUUCAUUGGAGAUGUACAUUGAAUACGAAUGCCUAGUGGGCCAUUUUUGGUAAGCAGAACUGGCGAUGUGGGAUGAACCAAACAUUUGGUUAAGGUGCCUAACAUCACGCUCAUGAGAACCCACAAAAGGUGUUGGUUGAUAAAGACAGCAGGACGGUGGACAUGGAAGUUGUCAUCCGCUAAGGAGUGUGUAACAACUCACCUGCCGAAUCAACCAGCCCUGAAA
rnacentral:rRNA from 1 species